rnacentral:rRNA from 1 species
AAUGAACGCUGGCGGCAGGCCUCAUACAUGCAAGUCGAACGAUCCUUCGGGAUAGUGGCGGACGGGUGCGUAACACGUGGGAAUCUGCCCUUGGGUGCGGGAUAACAGUUGGAAACGACUGCUAAUACCGCAUAAUGUCUUCGGACCAAAGAUUUAUCGCCCAAGGAUGAGCCCGCGGCUGAUUAGUUUGUUGGUGGGGUAAUGGCCUACCAAGACUACGAUCAGUAGCUGGUCUGAGAGGAUGAUCAGCCACACUGGGACUGAGACACGGCCCAGACUCCUACGGGAGGCAGCAGUAGGGAAUAUUGGACAAUGGGCGAAAGCCUGAUCCAGCCAUGCCGCGUGAGUGAUGAAGGCCUUCGGGUUGUAAAGCUCUUUCAAUCGUGAAGAUAAUGACGGUAGCGAUAUAAGAAGCUCCGGCUAACUCCG